rnacentral:rRNA from 1 species
GUGGGGAAUAUUGGGCAAUGGGCGCAAGCCUGACCCAGCAACGCCGCGUGAAGGAAGAAGGCUUUCGGGUUGUAAACUUCUUUGACAGGGGACGAAACAAAUGACGGUACCCUGAAAACAAGCCACGGCUAACUACGUGCCAGCAGCCGCGGUAAUACGUAGGUGGCAAGCGUUAUCCGGAUUUACUGGGUGUAAAGGGCGGGUAGGCGGGAUUACAAGUGAGAUGUGAAAACUAUGGGCUCAACCCAUAGCCUGCAUUUGAAACUGUAGUUCGUGAGUGAGGGAGAGGCAGACGGAAUUCCUCGUGUAGCGGUGAAAUGCGUAGAUAUGAGGAGGAACACCAGUGGCGAAGGCGGUCUGCUGGACAUUAACUGACGCUGAGGCGCGAAAGCGUGGGGAGCAAACAGGAUUAGAAACCCGGGUAGUCC